UGAUGAACCGCGGGUAGUUUUACUGCAAGCAUUAUUUACCUUUUCAUUCAUGUGUCGUUAGUUUGCUCCUAUGUUGGUUUGCUGUCAGACAUUAGUGUGUGGGUCGAUAUAGUACUAUUGCUUGGUUGAGUGGCCUGUCAAGUGCAGGAUUCUAUUAGAGGCGUACAAGCUGCUAUUUGUGCUCAAUAUUAUUGCCGGACCUGUUCUUGUAUUAUCUGAAAAGUUUACCGUGUUCUGCUUUUGUUGGUUUGAUCUUAUAUGGUUUUGUUUUCUCAUUUACUCCCUCCGUUCCGAAUUACUUGUCUUAGAUGAUACGAAUGUAUCUAGCACUAAAAUGAGUCUAGAUACAUCUGUAUCUAGACAAAUUCAAGACAAGUAGUAAUUCGGAACGGAGGGAGUAGAAUUUAACAUCUAUCGUCUGUUGUAGACCAUAGUAAGCCAUUUUCGAUUUCGGAACUACACAUAAUCAGUAUAUAUUCUUUCCUGGAAAUCUCAACGGCACAAGAGCCAAUUUCAAGAUGAAACGAAACAAUCACACUACGCGGCAGCAUAGAGGGCAAAAGCGCAGGGCGAAGUUUGAACAGUGGAACCGUGAGCGGGAGGAAACAAAGUGGUCUCUCUAGUCUACUGCCACUCCACUUGGUUUGGCUGUCUGUUCGUUUGCUAUACUUAAAGCGUGUAAAACUGUAAUUGGUUAUUGGUUGUUGUUUAGUCAGGUACCCUCAGUAGUAGUAUAUCCCGUCAUCUGUUUUACUGUAAUUCCCACAGCAAUAAGUUGUUUUUAGAACGAAGGCUCAAGUCGACCCCUGCUUUCAAUAAAAAAGCUAUCAACCGACCAGGAUUACAGCAUCAACCACAAAAACAAAAAGAC
rnacentral:lncRNA from 1 species